rnacentral:rRNA from 1 species
UACGUAGGGACCAAGCGUUGUUCGGAUUUACUGGGCGUAAAGGGCGCGUAGGCGGCGUGGUAAGUCACUUGUGAAAUCUCUGAGCUUAACUCAGAACGGCCAAGUGAUACUGCUGUGCUAGAGUGCAGAAGAGGCAAUCGGAAUUCUUGGUGUAGCGGUGAAAUGCGUAGAUAUCAAGAGGAACACCUGAGGUGAAGACGGGUUGCUGGGCUGACACUGACGCUGAGGCGCGAAAGCCAGGGGAGCAAACGGG